AGUGAACGCUGGCGGUAGGCCUAACACAUGCAAGUCGAACGGCAGCACAGUAAGAGCUUGCUCUUACGGGUGGCGAGUGGCGGACGGGUGAGGAUUACAUCGGAAUCUACUUUUUCGUGGGGGCUAACGUAGGGAAACUUACGCUAAUACCGCAUACGACCUACGGGUGAAAGCAGGGGAUCUUCGGACCUUGCGCGAUUGAAUGAGCCGAUGUCGGAUUAGCUAGUUGGCGGGGUAAAGGCCCACCACGGCGACGAUCCGUAGCUGGUCUGAGAGGAUGAUCAACCACACUGGAACUGAGACACGGUCCAGACUCCUACGGGAAGCAGCAGUGGAGAAUAUUGGACAAUGGGGGCAAGCCUGAUCCAGCCAUACCGCGUGGGUGAAGAAGGCCUUCGGGUUGGAAAACCCUUUUGUUGGGAAAGAAAAGCAGCAGUUUAAGACCCCGCGGUUCUGACGGUACCCAAAGAAUAAGCACCGGCUAACUUCGUG
rnacentral:rRNA from 1 species